rnacentral:rRNA from 1 species
UACGAAGGGUGCAAGCGUUACUCGGAAUUACUGGGCGUAAAGCGUGCGUAGGUGGUUUGUUAAGUCUGAUGUGAAAGCCCUGGGCUCAACCUGGGAAUGGCAUUGGAUACUGGCAGUCUAGAGUGCGGUAGAGGGUAGCGGAAUUCCCGGUGUAGCAGUGAAAUGCGUAGAUAUCGGGAGGAACAUCCGUGGCGCAAGCGGCUGACUGGCCGAGACCUGACGCUGGGACACGACGGCGUGGGGAGCAAACCGG